rnacentral:rRNA from 1 species
CCUACGGGAGGCAGCAGUGAGGAAUAUUGGUCAAUGGACGAGAGUCUGAACCAGCCAAGUAGCGUGAAGGAUGACUGCCCUAUGGGUUGUAAACUUCUUUUAUAUGGGAAUAAAACAGGGUAUGCAUACCCUCUUGUAUGUACCAUAUGAAUAAGGAUCGGCUAACUCCGUGCCAGCAGCCGCGGUAAUACGGAGGAUACGAGCGUUAUCCGGAUUUAUUGGGUUUAAAGGGAGCGUAGGUGGAUUGUUAAGUCAGUUGUGAAAGUUUGCGGCUCAACCGUAAAAUUGUAGUUGAAACUGGCAGUCUUGAGUACAGUAGAGGUGGACGGAAUUCGUGGUGUAGCGGUGAAAUGCUUAGAUAUCACGAAGAACUCCGAUUGCGAAGGCAGCUCACUGGACUGCAACUGACACUGAUGCUCGAAAGUGUGGGGAUCAAACAGGAUUAGAUACCCCUGUAGUC